GUGAACACAGCGCCAUGAUCGCGAUUCAACAGUGGCCGUCUAAUGCCCAGCCAGACUGCUGCCUAUGACUCGUAACGUGCACCUCUUUUCUAGGUUUUGACGUCCCGAAAGCCACCACCGUCGUCGUCAUCUACAGCCGGCGGAUUCCACAGCGCCAGUGACCCGCCACGUAACAGUAGCAUAUAACGGGGCGCGUUCGAUUAUUACAACCACACCUCACCGCUGCGAGCUAUUUGCUUUCCACGGCCACGUAUCACUUUGGUAGGCAGAGACAACGAUGCAUGCCCCAAUUGCAGCCGAUAGCUUCGUGAUCGGAGGCAGUGUCAUUGCAAUCGCCCAGAUGCGUCUGAUCGAAUUGAGCAUUUGUCGCUUGUCCUUGUUGUGGAUGUCAAAGUCUGAUGGUGCCAUUGUCACCUUCGCAACGGGAUAAGACCAUCAUCUUUGUGCGCAGUAGCCGAGGAGGGAGCUUUUGGGAGCCAGCUUACCCACAUUUCGGUACACGGUUAGCUUCUACUUCGUCGACCCUAUAGUCCUCUUGUUGCAAACAGGCACCAUAUCAACAACCGCCACUUUGAGUGGCGACCCCUCUCAGCUGUAUAUAUAACUCACUAUUAUCUUUUCUUCUGUCCACCUGAAACAUACUUUCAUAUUUUAGUGCCCUCAAAAACUUACUGUGCUCUUCUUAUCAUUAUUAGACUGGGAUUAGGGAAACAGUUUCAUUAUUGUUUCACUUUUUGGAAGAUAUAUAUCAUGCCAAUGGCAUUUUUAAUAUUGCAGCAAUGAAUGUGACAAAGAUUUUCUUA